rnacentral:rRNA from 1 species
GACGAACGCUGGCGGCGUGCUUAACACAUGCAAGUCGAGCGGUAAGGCCCUUCGGGGGUACGACGAGCGGCGAACGGGUGAGUAACACGUGGGUGACCUGCCCUCAGCUCUGGGAUAAGCCUGGGAAACUGGGUCUAAUACCGGAUAUGACUCCAUGACGCAUGUUGUGGGGUGGAAAGCCUUGUGCGGCUGAGGAUGGGCCCGCGGCCUAUCAGCUUGUUGGUGGGGGGAUGGCCUACC